UACGUAGGGUGCAAGCGUUGUCCGGAAUUAUUGGGCGUAAAGAGCUCGUAGGCGGUCUGUCGCGUCGGAUGUGAAAAUCCAGGGCUCAACCCUGGACCUGCAUUCGAUACGGGCAGACUAGAGUUCGGUAGGGGAGACUGGAAUUCCUGGUGUAGCGGUGAAAUGCGCAGAUAUCAGGAGGAACACCGAUGGCGAAGGCAGCCUCCUGGGCCAGCACUGACGCUCAUGCACGAAAGCGUGGGGAGCAAACAGG
rnacentral:rRNA from 1 species